UGAGCUGGUUUCCGGGGCCACUGGUGUGACGUGUCCCGCGCUUGGCGCAGCAGGAAGCGGCGACGAUCGCGGCCUGAAUUCCCGGCGCCGGCCCCAGCUCCAGUGCCGCUGCCGCCAUGCUCGACUUCUUCACCAUUUUCUCCAAGGGCGGGCUUGUACUCUGGUGCUUCCAGGGCGUUAGCGACUCAUGCACCGGGCCCGUUAACGCGUUGAUUCGUUCCGUGCUGCUGCAGGAACGGGGAGGUAACAACUCCUUCACCCAUGAGGCACUCACACUCAAGUAUAAACUGGACAACCAGUUUGAGCUGGUGUUUGUGGUUGGUUUUCAGAAGAUCCUGACACUGACGUAUGUAGACAAAUUGAUAGAUGACGUGCACCGGCUGUUUCGGGACAAGUACCGCACGGAGAUCCAACAGCAAAGUGCUUUAAGUUUAUUAAAUGGCACUUUUGAUUUCCAAAAUGACUUCCUGCGGCUCCUUCGGUGAGGGACCUGCCUUCUCUAAAAUCAAUUUAUUUCCAUGAUUUGAUGACCUCUCUGAAGGUGGUUCAAAGGUGGUAAAUUGGUGUGUUCAAAGACAUUCCUAAUUUGCUACCCAGUUCUCAUUGUCCUCUUGGGUGUGAGAGUCCUUUCUCUGGACUGUUAUUUUUCCUCCUGCACGGGGUAGAAAGAUAAACCAUUCUCUUUUUUGUUUAGUGAAGCAGAGGAGAGCAGUAAGAUCCGUGCUCCCACUACUAUGAAGAAAUUUGAAGAUUCUGAAAAGGCCAAGAAACCUGUGAGGUCCAUGAUUGAGACACGGGGGGAAAAGCCCAAGGAAAAAGCAAAGAAUAGCAAAAAAAAGGGGGCCAAGAAGGAAGG
rnacentral:sRNA from 1 species